CAGCAGCCGAUCCAGCCAACCACCAGCUCCUCCCAUCGAUCCAACCCACAGCCAACCUCUCCCUUCCUCGUUUUCAACAUCAGAUCAACCAGAGCCCCGCCACCUCCAGCUGAUCUCCAGUUCCGCUCCACAUCGUCCCCAACUCAGAAGGUCGCCGCCGGCAUGAACGCCGCCUCCUCAAGCUCUCCGCCCGGCGCCUUCUUCUGCUUCGAUCCAGCUCCGUCCUCCGCGCCGAACAAGGUCUGCAUCGCCGCGCGCCUGCAUCCGUGAGGGAGACGAUGUCGAUGCCAAGUCCUUGGUUCCUCUGCAAUGUACGCCCAUCCCUGACCGAUCCUGCAGAGACGUCGCCCGUCUUCUUCAUUCACAACGAGCACGGCUGUUGUACUGCUCGUGCGCGUCAAGUUCCUCUUCCUCGAGCCGUCCCGUCCGUGGCCUCCCGCGAGCCGCCGUCCAGGACCCCGACAGGUCGCGACACUCGCCGGAGUUGGAGUCUCGCAGGUCGCGGCCCCUCGCCCCUCCAAUCCAGCGACCCCUCUUCGUGGUUCCCCACUGUCUCUAACCUCUCUCUCUCUCUCUGCACCUUGGACAGUGCCAUGGAUAUGGAGUCCCGCACCCGAGCUCCGCCCGCCACCGUUGCCCGGAACCGACGCCGGACGACUCGACCCGCCCGUUCCAGCCGGUUCCCCUCGAUCCCAUCGCCAGGACCCUUGUCGUUGUCUUCUCCAUUGCCUUGUUCUGUUGUUGUUUCUGUUUUCUUCAGGAACGAGAACCGCAGCAGUUCGCCCGCUCGUCUCGCUCGUGCGUUGACUGAGCGCGGGGCUAGUAGGCCCAGCUACGCGCCUAGCAGCCAGAUCCGGCCUGCCCUGCCUCCUCCACAAACUGGGCUUGGCCCAUGGUUCCGAUAACGUCGCGUUUGUGAGGAUCCGUUCGACUACGUCCGUUUG